UACGUAGGGUGCGAGCGUUAAUCGGAAUUACUGGGCGUAAAGCGUGCGCAGGCGGCUUUGCAAGACAGAUGUGAAAUCCCCAGGCUCAACCUGGGAACUGCAUUUGUGACUGCAAGGCUAGAGUACGGCAGAGGGGGAUGGAAUUCCGCGUGUAGCAGUGAAAUGCGUAGAUAUGCGGAGGAACACCAUUGGCGAAGGCAAUCCCCUGGGCCUGUACUGACGCUCAUGCACGAAAGCGUGGGGAGCAAACAGG
rnacentral:rRNA from 1 species